CCCCCUCUGGUGACAUGUGCAAUACUCUGUUAUGAACAUGUUAAGUGUGUGUGUGUUUGGUGCUCAUGCUUGUGAUGAUUGUGAGAGAGUUAGCAUAACUACAGUUCCCAAGUAACAUAAUUCAAGUUGCAUUUCAAGCCCUAGCACAUAUGCAGAAGGUGUGCAGCUUCCAAGACAUAAUUAUUAUUGCAUAAAUCCCAGCACAGAUCAUAUAAGUCAUGGUUUUGCCCAAGUAAAGAAGUAGAAUAUUUCCCAAAUCCCUAUCAUACUUACAUGUUCCCAUAAAAAUAUCCUGAAGACAUAAUUUUGCCUAGUAAUAAAGCAUAAUACUCCCCCAUCAUGCUCACAUGCUUCCACGAGAUAAAGUUCAGCGAAGUACCUGAGUUACCACUUACAAGUGGAUUAGCUUUUCGUGUUAUGGUGAUUACCAUACUUGUUCAAGUUUUUUCCCAAAGCUGUUUAUCAUGUGCUGUAAGAACUCUUGAACGAGAAUAUUAGUAAAAUAUGAGAGCCCCUUGAGACAGGGCUGCAAAGAGAAUUCGAACCCUAGAUUAUAUAAUCCAUUGCCACAACUUGAUUCCCAUAUUCAUAUACCGAUGAAUUCAUUCAAAUUUUUAAAUCCCAUCAAAGAUCAUAUAAACCAUGAUUUUGCCCAAUUGAUAAAAUAUCACACAUCCCAAUCAUGCUCCUCCCAUUGAUAGAGGUCAGCGAAAUACCUGAAUUACCACUUACUAGUGGGUUACCCUGUUUUACAUUAUGGUAUUUACCAUAAUUGUUCAAAUCAUUCCCCAAAUUUGUUUAUCCUGUGCUACAAAAAUUCUUAAGCACAUAUAUAUUAGUAAAAUAUGAGAGCCCUUAGAGAUAGGGCUGUAAACCUGUAAAUA